GCCGCGAACACCAUGUUCUCCAGAGCGGUGGAGCAGUGAACAAACGGUCGGUGAGGAGACCCCCGCACUGAGCCGACACACGGACUUCAGACACGGCCCGCCCACCUCAACCUCUCCCGGGUGAACUUCGGGUUUUUCUGCCCGCAGUGGCUAUCGUGGUUACCUGAGGGGGUGAACUCCAAUGAGAAGCAAAGAAAUACAAGGAGAUUGCCCUCUGAGAUGGCGCAUCAACCAUAUCACAAAGUUGCCUACCUUCUUGGAAACAACUAAUGUGCUGCUUGCAAUAUGAGAUGUCAAUGUUUGAUCAAACUACCAUUAACUGAAUUCAACUGUUGAAUAAAUGGUUGUAAACUA